UACGGGGGGGGCAAGCGUUGUUCGGAAUUACUGGGCGUAAAGGGCUCGUAGGCGGCCAACUAAGUCAGACGUGAAAUCCCCUGGCUCAACUGGGGAACUGCGCCGGAAACUGGCAGACUAGAGUACCGGAGAGGAGGGUGGAAUUCCUGGUGUAGCGGUGAAAUGCGUAGAUAUCAGGAGGAAUACCGGUGGCGAAGGCGGCAUCCUGGACCAUUACUGACGCUGAGGCGCGAAAGCUAGGGGAGCAAACGGG
rnacentral:rRNA from 1 species